CAAUGAGGCCGGGGCAUCAUGGCCCCGGAAUACGGCUCUUUUCCG
rnacentral:misc_RNA from 1 species